ACGCCUCCGGCAACUCCUUUUCAUUUCGUCAAAUUCCGACAGCUCGUGGAAUCUACAACCACAAUUCAAUGUCAAGAUGUUUGAGCUGGUCUUACUGCAGAAAUUUCAGCUGUUACUAAUGGUCGUACACGAAGGGAGGGUGGGUAAUGAAGAAUGUUCAAAACUCAAAACUCAAUUUCUCUCUCUCUCUGCCUUUAAUUGUAUGAUGUGUGAGCUUUCUCGUGAAGUGGUGGGGGCCUGUGGAACAGCGACAGAGGCUCUGUGAUGGUAGGACCAAAGAGAAGAGGGUUUGGCGGGAGAAAGAGGAGAAGGGACUGUUUGUGAAGCGGAAAAUGAAUUGGGAAUUGGGAAUUGUGAGCCAAAGUUGAAAAUUUGGGGCAGUGACGCGGUACGUUUGGUGGUGACUUGUUGAGAGCGUAUGAUUUCAGUCACCGUCUUGUCCAUCGGAGCGUGCAGUUUUGAUCCUAUUUUUUCUUUUCGGUGCUUUUUACAGGAGUUGUGAGGGGGUGGGGCGCCGGGCUGGACGCCCCCAUGACUCCACCAACGUUGACGCGUGGGCGGACCUGACUUGGUUUUCAAGGGCGUCCCUUUAACUCCAACAACGUUGACGCGUGGGUGGACCCCUACUUGGUUUAAAGGAUAGCAUAGCCUAACGUAUCUCUCACUCAAGUGUCGCGUGAACUCGAUCUAAGUUCGAUUUAAAGUCAAUAUUUGGUUAGUUGUUUGUUCAUUGGAUAAUUCUCUUGAAGAGUGAAAUAAUAUCUUUGGACCAAACAAUGUGAAUGCAUUAUCAAUUUAGUCGGGUUUUUCAUUU